rnacentral:rRNA from 1 species
ACGCUGGCGGCGUGCUCACACAUGCAAGUCGAACGAACCUUCGGGUUAGUGGCGGACGGGUGAGUAACGCGUGAGAAUCUGCCCUCAGGAGGGGGAUAACGGUUGGAAACGACCGCUAAUACCCCAUAUGCCGAGAGGUGAAAAGAAAUUCGCCUGAGGAUGAGCUCGCGUCUGAUUAGCUAGUUGGUGUGGUAAUGGCGCACCAAGGCUUCGAUCAGUAGCUGGUCUGAGAGGAUGAUCAGCCACACUGGGACUGAGACACGGCCCAGACUCCUACGGGAGGCAGCAGUGGG